rnacentral:rRNA from 1 species
AUGAACGCUGGCGGCGUGCCUAACACAUGCAAGUCGAGCGGAAAUAUUCAGAAGUAUACGUACGGAUGGAUAUUUUAGCGGCGGACGGGUGAGUAACACGUGAGCAACCUACCUUUUGCUGGGGAAUAACAUCGGGAAACCGAUGCUAAUACCGCAUGACAUUCCGAUGGGGCAUCCUGUUGGAAUCAAAGGAGAGAUCCGGCAAGAGAUGGGCUCGCGUCCGAUUAGCUGGUUGGUGAGGUAACGGCUCACCAAGGCGACGAUCGGUAGCUGGUCUGAGAGGAUGGUCAGCCACACUGGGACUGAGACACGGCCCAGACUCCUACGGGAGGCAGCAGUGAGGAAUCUUGGGCAAUGGGCGAAAGCCUGACCCAGCGACGCCGCGUGGAGGAAGAAGGUCUUCGGGAUCGUAAACUCCUGUUCGGGGAGAAGAACAAGAGAGAAGUUAAUAGCUUCUCUCUCUGACGGUAUCCCCGGAGAAAGCUCCGGCUAAUUACGUG